rnacentral:rRNA from 1 species
CCUGGUUGAUCCAGCCAAUAGUCAUAUGUUUGUCUCAAAGAUUAAGCCAUGCAUGUGUAAGUAUAAACUAAUUCAGACUGUAAAACUAUGAAUGGCUCAUUAAAUUAGUUACAGUUUGUUUGAUGGUAUCUACUACUCAAAUAAUCGUAGUAAUUCCAGAGCUAAUACGUGUAACAAACCCCAUCUUCUGGAAGGGAUGCAUUUAUUAGAUAAAAGGUCGAUGUAGGCUAUGCUCAUUGCUCUGAUGAUUCAUGAUAACUCGACAGAUCAUAUGGCUUUUGUGCCGAUGAUGCAUCAUUCAAAUUUCUACCCUAUCAACUUUCGAUGGUAGGAUAGUUUCCUACUAUGGUGGUGAUGAGUAACGGAGAAUUAGGGUUUGAUUUCAGAGAGGGAGCCUGAGAAACGGCAACUAGAUCCAAGGAAGGUAGUAGGCACGUAAAUUACCCAAUCCUGACAUGGGGAGGUAGUGACAAUAAAUAAGAAUACCGAGCUUUAUGAGUCUAGCAAUUGAAAUGAGUGCAAUCUAAAUCCCUUAACGAGGAUCCAUUGAAGGCAAGUCUGAUGCUAGCAGCCACGGUAAUUCUAGCUCUAAUAGCAUAUAUUUAAGUUGUUGUAGUUAAAAAGCUCGUAGUUACAACUAGGGUUGGGUCGUCUGAUCCGUCUCACGAUGAGCAUCGGUCUGCUAGUCCCUACUGCCAGCGAUGCACUCCUAGACUUAAUUACUUGGGUCAUUCCUCCGAUGCUGUUACUUUGAAGAAAUUAGAGUGCUUAAAAUAGGCCUACGGUUGUAUACAUUAGCAUGGGAUAACAUCAUAGGAUUUUGGUCCUAUUAUGUUGGCCUUCGGGAUCGGAGUAAUGAUUAAUAGGGACAAUCGAGGGCAUUCGUAUUUCAUAGUCAGAGGUGAAAUUCUUAGAUUUAUGAAAGACAAACAACUGCGAAAGCAUUUGCCAAGGAUGUUUUCAUUAAUUAAGAAUGAAAGUUGGGGACUCGAAGAUGAUUAGAUACCAUCCUAGUCUUAACCAUAAACGAUGCCGACCAGGGAUCGACGGAUGUUACUUUUAGGACUCUGCUGGCACCUUAUGAGAAAUCAAAGUCUUUGGGUUCCAGAGGCAGUAUGGUCGAAGGCUGAAACUUAAAAAAAUUGAUGGAAAGGCAUCACCAGGAGUAGAGACUGCGGCUUAAUUUGACUCAACACGGUGUAACUUACCAAGUCCAAACAUAGUAAGGAUUGACAGACUGAAAGCUUUUUCUUGAUUCUAUGGGUGGUGGUACAUGGCCAUUCUUAGUUGGUAGAGCGAUUUGUCUGGUUAAUUUCGUUACGAACGAGACCUCAUCCUGCUAACUAGCUACGCGGAGGUGAUCCUUCGUGGCUAGCUUCUUAGAGGGACUAUGGCCACUUAGGCUAAGGAAGUUUGAGGUAAUAAUAGGUCUAUGAUGCCUUAGAUGUUCUGGGCUGCACGCGUGCUACACUGAUGUGUUCAAUGAGUCUAUAGGCUUGGCUGAUAGGCCCGAGUAAUCUUUUAAAUUUCAUUGUGAUGGGGAUAGAUCAUUGCAAUUGUUGGUCUUCAACAAGGAAUUCCUAGUAAGCACUAGUCAUCAGCUCACGUUGACUACAUCCCUACCUUUUGUACACACUGGUCAUCGUUCCUACCGACUGAAUGGUCUAAUGAAGUGUUUAAAUCGCUGUGACAUGGAUGGUUCACCGCUCGUGAUGUCACGAGAAGUCCACUGAACCUUAUCAUUGGGAAGAAGGAAAAGUCAUAACAAGGUUUCCGUAGGUGAACCUGCGGAAA